ACAGUAGAUGACGAUUCUUUGAAGAAGUAAUGGUUGACGUUGUCGAACAUUCAGACCCACUGGAGGCGUUCCACAGCCUGGAGCCCGCUGAUAAGGAUUUUGAUGUGACUUGACAUGCUGUCAGCUGUACCAGUCCACAUCCCAUCGUAAUCAGCGACCAGGCCAAGCGUGAUAUUUGCCUUGGUAUUUCACUAUGUGUGGUGAGAAGACGUCCAUUCACGUCUGAGAAAUUCAUUUGCAAAUGGGAAAUCAACAGGCCUGUAUUAGUAUGGGCAGAAUUCAUCACCCGGGCCGCUAUUGAAGCUUUGCACAGUUGUCAAUGUCCAACGGCCUAUUUAUACGAAGACCUGUGGUGGCUACGUGAUUCUCUUAAACCUGUGAUCAUGUUUUCCAAGAUCAUUUCAGUAGCAGACAUAUGAAACGCUACGCCGGGCCUGAGCCCGAGGCAAUGUACGGACGUGGCCGUGCUGCACUGAACCGCGUGGCAUCAUCGUCACGUAUGAUGGAGUCAACAUGACUGCGCCCUGCAUAUGCAUCAUACAUCUGAUAGUACGUUUAUUGCCCUAUCCUUGGAGAGUGGGCCACCAGGGAAGGCUGGGUUUCCGACUUGGCUUCACCUAUAAUGCUCAUGAUUGAACACGCUCUUGGAGAAUAAAUGUAGAAUCCGGCUGAACAUUGAAACCAGAUAGCAUCGCGUUUCUGCGCUGCACCUCACAACACCAUUGACAUACAACCAGGAAGAGCUGGGAACUUGAGGGAAGUGACGGAAAAGUCAAAGAGGAAGUGAAGAAGAUUGAAGAAGAGGAUCAGUAAUCAUCAAGGAGGCCAAAAAGAGGUCACCUACGAGCCAAAUGGCUCUUGAUGUGAUGAUGUGCAGGCAGGUAUGCUGGAAUUGGAUAGACUCUUUUGGUCAAUUUUUGGCCUAUCCCACAUCUUUCUACCGCAGCUCUGGCAGAUUGAUUGGUACUAUACCCCUGAAUUUAUACAUUUCUGAGCUCUGUGACACGUUACCUAGCUCGUGAAUGUCGUCUUUCAGCCAUUCAUCAUUGCUUAUUUUGACAUUUGAUGAGGAGCCGAUCAUGACUAUUUUUGAGGAUGCGCAUGUCAGAACGCUUUGUUGUGACAUGCUCAUCUAAAGGAUUUUGCAACUGUUUCUAUUGAAUACCUAUAAUAGUAGUACGAAAUAAUUAGGGCUCAAACGGUCACGGUUUUGCCCCGAACGGUUAACUGCUAAGCUAACGGUCGGUUUAACGGUUAUAACCUAUAAGCCAUGGCAAUCCUGCGGACUCUUUUUUAACCGUUUAUUUGACUAUACUCAUUCAAAAAAUGUACCCUAUUCAGUACAACGCACAUAUGUACAUUCUCUUGCAUGCUCAUUCAUACAUACUCUCACACGAAGAGACCAGAUAUGACCGAGUUGACAGCCCAGAAAUUGCGUACGCGUGCGACAGGCUGCGAAAGUGCAUACUUUGCAACGACCUGAUACAUGAAAAAUUGACUGAAAAGUUACUGCGUAACCGUUAUCUUUAUCGGUUAACCGUUAAUUCUUCGUAACCGGUCUGCAACCAGUUAAUCGGACUAACCGUUUGAGCCCUAGAAAUAAUGGUUGCGACUUUGGCGAUAAUUAUUACGAAAGGGUUUGCUCCCCACACUGGAGCUCGCGCUAUUCCGUCGACUUGACAAAAAUACCCGAGCCCGCUACCCGACCAAACCCCUACCCGUUGCAGCCCUGAUUUUUUUUCGUCGGACUGGCCCCUUUCCAUUCCCUCAACAAACAAAGGAAUUAUAUAAUGAACACUGGA